UAUAUGCUCUCAGGGCGCGUUUGUUAUUAUAUUCCUGCAAGUAGUUGAGCUCGCUGGUUCUGGCUUUGGUUAAGGCAGGGGGGAUUACAUCAAGACAUUUGGUUAACCACAACCAAAAUUUGCUGUUAGAAAUCUAGUCUUAGUGUGUUCGUUCCUUUCCUUCAACGCCGUUUGCCUAAGCUGAGAAGAGAUCUGGUAGGGAAAUUAUCUAGAGAUCGGAAAAGACGCUGUUUUUAUGUAAAACCGCAGAUAUUCAGAGAGCGCGUUUUGAAAGAUGCGUGAGUCAUAGAUGCAGAGUUUUCAGCAAGGUUUAGCAUGUUUGUUACUAAGUACUAAAACUAGGAACGACAGAAAGGGAAUUUGCUUCCAAAACAACUCUACCGAGGGUCCUCAAUCAGAGAGAAAAAAAAGACGCACUUGACUUUAAAAAGCAAAAUACACUUUGGUCUACGUUUGAGAGACUAAACUUUGCCCGCAGUGAUCUUAAGUGUGGUUGACUAGGCAGGCGCACAGUCAGAAGGAACCUUCAGUUUCCUGCUACCCCCAGUGCUAAGAGGACCGACAAUUAAGAUGGGACAACCGCUGCUAACUGGACGGAACGCUCUGUGCCUGGUGAUUGCGGCUUUCGGAGUGUUGACGUCUACCAAGGCGGAAAAUUGCCCCAUACCAAGACGAAAUCCAGGCAGCAGGUU